CGAACGCUGGCGGCGUGCUUAACACAUGCAAGUCAAGGGGAAAGUCGUCUUCGGAUGAUGAUUAUACUGGCGCACGGGUGAGUAAUAUGUAAGUAACCUACCUAUAGGACGGGGAUAACCUCGAGAAAUUGGGGCUAAUACCGGAUAUUGCAACGGCAUCGCAUGAUGUUGUUGUUAAAGUUGCUUCGGUAACACCUAUAGACGGGCUUGCAUUCGAUUAGCUUGUUGGUGAGGUAAAGGCUCACCAAGGCUGCGAUCGAUAGCUGGUCUGAGAGGACGAUCAGUCACACUGGAACUGAGACACGGUCCAGACUCCUACGGGAGGCAGCAGUGAGGAAUAUUGGGCAAUGGGCGAAAGCCUGACCCAGCAACGCCGCGUGAAGGAUGAAAGUCGUAAGAUUGUAAACUUCUUUUUUGAGGGACGAACACCCAGGUUUCGCAAGGGGCCUGGAUUGACUGUACCUCAAGAAUAAGCCCCGGCUAACUAC
rnacentral:rRNA from 1 species